rnacentral:piRNA from 1 species
UAUCCGUUUCAUUGAAGUGCUCUUUGGU